rnacentral:rRNA from 1 species
GACGAACGCUGGCGGCAUGCCUAACACAUGCAAGUCGAACGGAGAUUAUUUCGGUAAUCUUAGUGGCGAACGGGUGAGUAACGCGUAGGCAACCUGCCCUUUAGUUGGGGGCAACAUCCCGAAAGGGGUGCUAAUACCGAAUGUGAUCGCUUUUCCGCAUGGAAGAGCGAUGAAAGAUGGCCUCUAUUUAUAAGCUAUCGCUAAAGGAUGGGCCUGCGUCUGAUUAGCUAGUUGGUGGGGUAACGGCCUACCAAGGCGACGAUCAGUAGCCGGUCUGAGAGGAUGAACGGCCACAUUGGGACUGAGACACGGGCCCAGACUCCUACGGGAGGCAGCAGUGGGGAAUCUUCCGCAAUGGGCGAAAGCCUGACGGAGCAAUGCCGCGUGAGUGAUGAAGGAAUUCGUUCCGUAAAGCUCUUCUGUUUUAUGACGAAUGUGCAGACUGUGAAUAAUGGUUUGUAAAUGACGGUAGUAAAACGAA